rnacentral:ncRNA from 1 species
CAUGAUCUAACGGGGUGCAAUGUGUGCAACACAUUGCUGAGAGGCUUUGCGCCAACCCGCGGAACCUGAUCCGGUUAACACCGGCGGAGGGAUUAGAUGUGUGGCCGCC